rnacentral:rRNA from 2 species
UAGGGAAUCUUCGGCAAUGGGGGGAACCCUGACCGAGCAACGCCGCGUGAGUGAAGAAGGUUUUCGGAUCGUAAAGCUCUGUUGUUAAGGAAGAACGAGUGUGAGAAUGGAAAGUUCAUGCUGUGACGGUACUUAACCAGAAAGGGACGGCUAACUACGUGCCAGCAGCCGCGGUAAUACGUAGGUCCCGAGCGUUGUCCGGAUUUAUUGGGCGUAAAGCGAGCGCAGGCGGUUAGAAAAGUCUGAAGUGAAAGGCAGUGGCUCAACCAUUGUAGGCUUUGGAAACUGUUUAACUUGAGUGCAGAAGGGGAGAGUGGAAUUCCAUGUGUAGCGGUGAAAUGCGUAGAUAUAUGGAGGAACACCGGUGGCGAAAGCGGAUCUCUGGUCUGUAACUGACGCUGAGGCUCGAAAGCGUGGGGAGCGAACAGG